UGGAUUAUUUCCACAGAAAAUAAUCUAACCUUCUGGCUGGACUUCAUUGGCAAUGAAAGCUUGUUGACCAGAGCUGGUUCCAUUAAGAAAUCAGCAAUAAUCCGGGGAGAAUGUGGGUACACUGCAGUGACUACUAACUUCUUUCCUGACAUCCCAAGGCCUUUCUGCCAUAUGCCACAAGCCAAAUACUGGAAAUAAUUAGAAUAUUCUGUGGCGGCUCAUUUCCUAGCGUAUGCGAACCGACUCACAAUUAGAUAGCCUACGGGGGUUUGCGAGCACAGAGCUUUGGAGCCUCUUCGCCAUGGGGGGCCGGUUGACAGAGGCUUAAAAGUGAGGCUGAAGUUUUCGAAUAAAGUUUUUUCCUUCGACUGCAGUUACCGACUCCGUGUCGUAAUUUUAGCGCUGUUUGUAGCACACCGCUACAAUUCCAUAUUUUCCUAAAUUUGUGCAGCUCCAUCCAGCAUUUAACAAUUUUCUCCAGCCUAUGGCUUUUAUCGCUUGCUACAUCUCCAAGGAGAAAAAAAGGUGGAAAUCUGGGGAAAAGGAGCAUAUAAUACUGAAAAGGACUUGGUGGUAAUGCAAAUUCUUCCUGUAGAGAAAGAAGCAGUUAAUGAUUCAGAAGUGAUAUGAUUCUUAAUCAUCAGUUCUAACGAAGAGCCAUUAACCUGACACAUUUGCUCUGUUUCUCUGCAGAAUGCUGACUGAAGUGCCAAGUAUUCCCAGCAAUGUUUUUAAUUGAAAAGAUAUUGCCACUCCAUCAUUGUGGUGGCUUGGUCUAAAUCCUGGAACGCCAUCCCCAUCAGGAGUGCAGAGAUCCUUAACCAGAAGUGCAGUUGUUCAGGAUAUAUUCACUGUCACUUUCCUUGGGGCAAUAAUGGAUGUGCAGUGAAAUCUGGCAUUGGUAAUGAAGUGUGGAUUCUGAAAAGUCAAUAACUGAAAACAGCCUUAUAGAACACUACAGCACAGCACAGGUCCUUCAGCUCACAAUGUUGGGCCUAACCACUCCCUCCUAGAUCACCCUCUACUUUUCUAAAAUCCAUUGCCUAUCUAAAAAUUCCUUUAAUGUCUCCAAUGUAUCUGUCUCUACCACCACCCUGGCAGUGUGUUCCAGGCACCAGUCUCUGUGCUUAAAGAAAAUUCUUGCACCUGAUGUCCCCCUGUACUUUUCUCCAGUCACCUUAAAAUUAUGCCCUCUCAUAUUAGCCGUUUCUGCACUGGGAGAAAAGGUCUCUGGCUGUCCUUCUUGCAAGUCUUCAAGUGUAUCUGAAGAUGACUUCAGUUUGUGAUGAUGUGUUUCCUUUUUCAACAUCAUUUCUGAUUGUGCAAGGUGAUGGCAGUUCCAUUUGUGGAAGAUUGGUAUCUGGUGCAGACUUUGGGUGAAGGAGCAUAUGGCAAGGUACAAUUAGCAAUUAAUCGACGAACAAAGGAAGCAGUGGCACUGAAGAAAGUGGACACCACACUAGCUCGUGACUGCCUUGAUAACAUCCAGAAAGAAUUCUGCAUCAAUAAGAUGUUGAACUAUGAAGACAUUGUCCGCUUUUAUGGGCAUCAUUGAGAGGCCCAUAUCCAAUACUUGUUUUUGGAGUAUUGCGGUGGAGGAGAGCUCUAUAGGAAUAUCUUCAUAGCAUUGGAAUUACUCACAGGGACAUCAAGCCAGAGAAUCUGUUACUUGAUGACUGAGAUAUCUCAGAUGCAAAGAAUGAAGGUGGUGAGCGGCCUGGGUUCAAAACUUAAAAGAAAAUGCUGCUUCAUAAUUUCAUGUCAUUAUUUCUGGUUGCAUGGAAAGGUGCUUGGUGGUGCUGUUGCCAAUAUAUAUAAGAACGGCAAGUGUUGGACCUGGUUAAUGAAGGCAUCGGCCAGAUCAAAGUGGCAGGGUUGCAUGACACUGAAUCUCAGGUGACUAGAUCUAAAAGCACAAGAGGGCUGAUUCACCCACUGCCCGAAUACUAACCCUAACCCUAACCCUAAACCCACUAUCGCAGAAAUGCUCCAGCUACAUCAAGGACACAUAUCAGUUCGUCCGGAUUGUCAACUCCAUGUCAGUGCCCCCUGAGGCCAUACUCUUCACCAUGGACAUUGAAAGCCUGUACACCAAUAUAGAAACACACAGGGGUAUAGAGGCGGUGAGAGACAUCCUAAAGAAGAACCCUCAGCUAGAGAGACCAGAUAAGGCCUUGUUAGAACUCCUUCACCUCAGCCUGACUAAAAAUGACCUUGAUUUCAAUGAUGAAUUCUAUUUACAUGUCGUGCGCAGCGAUGGAGAAAGAAGUUUGCUCCAGCCUAUGCCAAUAUGUACAUGGCAAAGUGGGAGGUGACAGUUUAUCCAAAGUGUCCCAAAAAACCCAAGUGUUUCUAUAGAUACCUGGAUGACAUCUGGGGAGUGCGGACACAUUCAGAGGCAGAAUUAGAGGAAUUCUUUCAAAUCCUAAACACUCAUCAUCCAUCCAUUAAGGUUAAGGCCACCACAAGUAGGGAGAAAAUUGACUUUCUGGACACCAUGAUAUUUAAACUAGCACCAGAAAAUGGCAGCCAGAAACUAGCAAAGCCCCCCACCUCCAAAGUACUAGCCAUAAGUAAUAACUCCACCACUUUAACUUAAACUCCAGAACUGAGGUUAACGAGGAGGGAUCUCCCAAUAAAGGCAAGUCGGGGACCAAGAUGAUGACAACGUGGGCCAAAAACGAAGUAGCAGGGUGAAGUGAUACUGCAUCUCCAGUACGAGAUCCACAAACAGUACAGAGAUAUUUUGCCCACUGCCCGCAUACAUGCAUCCUAACUCUGUGGACAGUGUUUGAUGGUUGUAAUGGUUAUAAAUGCUUAUAUAAUAAACCCCACAGUUCCAGAAUGUUCUUGC